UACGGGGGGGGCAAGCGUUGUUCGGAAUUACUGGGCGUAAAGGGCUCGUAGGCGGCCAACUAAGUCAUACGUUAAAUCCCUCGGCUUAACCGGGGAACUGCAUCUGAUACUGGAUGGCUUGAGUUCGGGAGAGGGAUGCGGAAUUCCAGGUGUAGCGGUGAAAUGCGUAGAUAUCUGGAGGAACACCGGUGGCGAAGGCGGCAUCCUGGACCGACACUGACGCUGAGGAGCGAAAGCCAGGGGAGCAAACGGG
rnacentral:rRNA from 1 species